rnacentral:rRNA from 1 species
GUUUGAUCCUGGCUCAGAAUCAACGCUGGCGGCGCGCUUAACACAUGCAAGUCGCACGAGAAAGUGGAGCAAUCCAUGAGUAAAGUGGCGUACGGGUGAGUAACACGUGGAUAAUCUACCUUCUAGUGGGGAAUAACCCUGGGAAACCGGGGCUAAUACCGCAUAAGCUCGUGAGAGGAAAGCAGCAAUGCGCUGGAAGAGGAGUCCGCGGCUGAUUAGCUAGUUGGCGGGGUAACGGCCCACCAAGGCGAAGAUCGGUAGCCGGCCUGAGAGGGCACACGGCCACACUGGCACUGAAACACGGGCCAGACUCCUACGGGAGGCAGCAGUGGGGAAUCUUGCACAAUGGAGGAAACUCUGAUGCAGCGACGCCGCGUGAGCGAUGAAGCCCUUCGGGGUGUAAAGCUCUUUCGACGGGAACGAUAAUGACGGUACCCGAAGAAGAAGCUGCGGCUAACUACGUGCCAGCAGCCGCGGUAAUACGUAGGCAGCGAGCGUUGUUCGGAAUUACUGGGCGUAAAGAGUGUGUAGGCGGUGUUCUAAGUCUGUUGUGAAAUCUCCCGGCUCAACUGGGAGGGUGCGGCGGAGACUGGAAUGCUAGAGUAUGGGAGAGGUAAGCGGAAUUCCUGGUGUAGCGGUGAAAUGCGUAGAUAUCAGGAGGAACACCUGUGGUGUAGACAGCUUACUGGACCAUGACUGACGCUGAGACACGAAAGCGUGGGUAGCANACAGGAUUAGAUACCCUGGUAGUCCACGCCCUAAACGAUGCAUACUUGGUGUGAGCCAUUCAUUUGGUUCGUGCCGGAGCUAACGCGUUAAGUAUGC